GAUUUAAUCGCAUGGGUUCAAAUCAAUCUGCGUCGUGUUUUAUAUUUGGGGACUUUGUCAGAUUCCACAAAGGAAAAAAAAUCAAAAUGGGUUUUGUGUCUUUGUUCGUAUCUGAUGUGUUCCAGUAACUUUACCUUUUAGACUGUCUCUUAGAUCUGUUUGCUGCUGUGCUUGAUCCACUGCUUUAUUCCCUCUUUAACACUCCUUCUCAAGGUCAGAUCAUCACAUUUUAUGCUACACAACUAUUGCUUUAGCUCUGCAUAGUCUUUUUUUUUCCCUUCAAUUUUAAUUGCUGAUAGCAUCGGUUCUGUUACUCUGGCUGAAUAGCUAAGCUGGAAGUUUUUGCUGCUUUAAAUAUAAACGGGGUGUAGUUCGUUUUACAUCGGGGGUUCU
rnacentral:misc_RNA from 1 species